AACGAACGCUGGCGGCAGGCCUAACACAUGCAAGUCGAGCGAGGACUUCGGUCCUAGCGGCGGACGGGUGAGUAACGCGUGGGAACGUGCCCUUUGCUUCGGAAUAGCCCUGGGAAACUGGGAGUAAUACCGGAUGAGCCCUUUGGGGGAAAGAUUUAUCGGCGAAGGAUCGGCCCGCGUUGGAUUAGGUAGUUGGUGGGGUAAUGGCCUACCAAGCCGACGAUCCAUAGCUGGUUUGAGAGGAUGAUCAGCCACACUGGGACUGAGACACGGCCCAGACUCCUACGGGAGGCAGCAGUGGGGAAUCUUAGACAAUGGGGGAAACCCUGAUCUAGCUAUGCCGCGUGAGCGAUGAAGGCCUUAGGGUUGUAAAGCUCUUUCAGCUGGGAAGAUAAUGACGGUACCAGCAGAAGAAGCCCCGGCUAACUCCGUG
rnacentral:rRNA from 1 species